GUUUUCGUUUGGUAAACUUGGAGCCUCUUCGUAAACCAAUUUCUAGGGUUUAGCCAUUCCAUUCGGCAAUACUAUGAUUUGUACGGACGACGCACGGAGUCAACACAGCGAAUAAGCCAGAUGCAGAAUAUGGCCAGGAAACCCCGGGUGGAGGCACUGGCCUUCCAUUUGCACCCACUCAUGAAUAGUAAGAUUCCCUUAUAUAUGCCUACAAAGUUUGAGGCCACAUGUUAAGGAAGAUUAUCACUCCUU